rnacentral:rRNA from 1 species
CCUACGGGAGGCAGCAGUGAGGAAUAUUGGUCAAUGGACGGAAGUCUGAACCAGCCAUGCCGCGUGCAGGAAUAAGGUCCUAUGGAUUGUAAACUGCUUUUAUUCGGGAAUAAACCUUUCUACGUGUAGGAAGCUGAAGGUACCGAAGGAAUAAGCACCGGCUAACUCCGUGCCAGCAGCCGCGGUAAU